GACGAACCGUGCGAACGUUGUUCGGGAUCACUGGGCUUAAAGGGCGCGUAGGCGGGCAUUCAAGUCGGUGGUGAAAUCCUCCAGCCUAACUGGAGAAGAGCUGUCGAUACUGGAUGUCUCGAGGGGUGCAGGGGUCUGCGGAACUCGGGUGGAGCGGUGAAAUGCGUAGAGAUCGGGAGGAACACCAGAGGCGAAGGCGGCGACCUGGACAGAUACUGACACUCAACUACGGAAAGCGUGGGGAGCAAACAGG
rnacentral:rRNA from 1 species